rnacentral:rRNA from 1 species
ACACGUAGGGGGCGAGCGUUGUCCGGAAUUACUGGGCGUAAAGGGCGUGUAGGCGGCUGGCCAAGUCAGGCGUGAAAUUUUAAGGCUCAACCUUAAGACUGCGUCUGAAACUGGUUAGCUUGAGGGCAGGAGAGGAGAGCGGAAUUCCCAGUGUAGCGGUGAAAUGCGUAGAUAUUGGGAGGAACACCAGUGGCGAAGGCGGCUCUCUGGACUGCACCUGACGCUGAGGCGCGAAAGCGUGGGGAGCAAACAGGAUUAGAUACCCUGGUAGUCCACGCUGUAAACUAUGGGUGCUAGGUGUUGGAGGUAUCGAACCCUCCAGUGCCGCAGCAAACGCAAUAAGCACCCCGCCUGGGGAGUACGGCCGCAAGGCUGAA